CCACACUGCCUUAGUAAACACCAGCCCUGGGAACCCCACAGGUACCAUCACACUGCCUUAGUUAACACCAGCCCUGGGAACCCCACAGGUACCACCACACUGCCUUAGUAAACACCAGCCCUGGGAACCCCACAGGUACCAUCACACUGCCUUAGUAAACACCAGCCCUGGGAACCCCACAGGUACCAUCACACUGCCUUAGUUAACACCAGCCCUGGGAACCCCACAGGUACCAUCACACUGCCUUAGUUAACACCAGCCCUGGGAACCCCACAGGUACCAUCACACUGCCUUAGUUAACACCAGCCCUGGGAACCCCACAGGUACCACCACACUGCCUUAGUAAACACCAGCCCUGGGAACCCCACAGGUACCAUCACACUGCCUUAGUUAACACCAGCCCUGGGAACCCCACAGGUACCACCACACUGCCUUAGUAAACACCAGCCCUGGGAACCCCACAGGUACCACCACACUGCCUUAGUUAACACCAGCCCUGGGAACCCCACAGGUACCACCACACUGCCUUAGUAAACACCAGCUCUGGGAACCCCACAGGUACCAUCACACUGCCUUAGUAAACACCAGCCCUGGGAACCCCACAGGUACCAUCACACUGCCUUAGUUAACACCAGCCCUGGGAACCCCACAGGUACCAUCACACUGCCUUAGUUAACACCAGUCCUGGGAACCCCACAGGUACCAUCACACUGCCUUAGUUAACACCAGCCCUGGGAACCCCACAGGUACCAUCACACUGCCUUAGUUAACACCAGCCCUGGGAACCCCACAGGUACCACCACACUGCCUUAGUAAACACCAGCCCUGGGAACCCCACAGGUACCACCACACUGCCUUAGUUAACACCAGCCCUGGGAACCCCACAGGUACCACCACACUGCCUUAGUUAACACCAGCCCUGGGAACCCCACAGGUACCACCACACUGCCUUAGUAAACACCAGCCCUGGGAACCCCACAGGUACCACCACACUGCCUUAGUUAACACCAGCCCUGGGAACCCCACAGGUACCACCACACUGCCUUAGUAAACACCAGCCCUGGGAACCCCACAGGUACCACCACACUGCCUUAGUUAACACCAGCCCUGGGAACCCCACAGGUACCAUCACACUGCCUUAGUUAACACCAGCCCUGGGAACCCCACAGGUACCAUCACACUGCCUUAGUUAACACCAGCCCUGGGAACCCCACAGGUACCACCACACUGCCUUAGUAAACACCAGCCCUGGGAACCCCACAGGUACCAUCACACUGCCUUAGUUAACACCAGCCCUGGGAACCCCACAGGUACCAUCACACUGCCUUAGUAAACACCAGCCCUGGGAACCCCACAGGUACCAUCACACUGCCUUAGUUAACACCAGCCCUGGGAACCCCACAGGUACCAUCACACUGCCUUAGUUAACACCAGCCCUGGGAACCCCACAGGUACCAUCACACUGCCUUAGUAAACACCAGCCCUGGGAACCCCACAGGUACCGCCACACUGCCUUAGUUAACACCAGCCCUGGGAACCCCACAGGUACCAUCACACUGCCUUAGUAAACACCAACCCUGGGAACCCCACAGGUACCAUCACACUGCCUUAGUAAACACCAGCCCUGGGAACCCCACAGGUACCACCACACUGCCUUAGUAAACACCAGCCCUGGGAACCCCACAGGUACCAUCACACUGCCUUAGU